GCAUUUCACCUACACGCAUUUAGCACAGUUAAAAUACAUUCUACCUGAAGCUAUAAGUCUCAAGAAGAUUCUUGUUCAUGAUGAGCAUACUUGCUGCAUGAAGCCAGAGCUUCAAGUUAAUUUGCAAGUUGAUGCUGUCGAAAAGAUCAUCAAGGGAAAAAGUGAAACUGGGUAUACAGUCUUAAUGACUGUUUUCAGAGAAAGGCUUCUUGGUUUCGUCAAUGAACAUCCAGAGGGAGAUGCGGUGCCAGAGGAGGUACAUCUGAUCCUUUGCUUCCUUCUUCCAGUAUUGUUGUUGCUGAGAUGUAGGAAGCGAUUUGUCGUGUUUGAUCCAGCUGUUCUAUGAGUCCUUUGACGAGUCGUUUGAGGGCCGGUGGAUCAUUUCCGACAAGGCGGACUACCAAGAUGAGUCUGUGGACAAUGUCCACAAAUCUAGAAAUGACGAACAAGAAGCAUGAGGGAUUAGGGAAUCUGCAAGCUCUGAUCCAUCAAUGGUUUGGGAUCAGCCGAAAUCUGGCCAUUUCCAACUAAACAAGGAGAUGAUUGAUACUUUGUUUGGCAGAAAGACAACAAUGGCCACAAAGGGGAUUGCUGGUGGUCCAUUAGAUCCUUCCUUGGCCCAAGAAAGCAGGAUCCUUGAUCCUAACAAAUCUCAGAACAUUUCAAAUUUGCUAAAGGAUUUUAAUUUGACGAAAGAAAAUGUCUGUGAGGCUAGCUUAGAAGGUAAGAGAACUGGAGAAUCAAUUAAAUGGUGAGAGGAUAACCAAGAAAGAUGUUGCAAAGUUCCCAAAGCCUCCAGUGACUCCUUUAAGAUGGAGGCCUCCUUUACAAAGAAUCACCAAUCAGUUGUCACCCUCAGGACAUCAAACAAGCAGACGUGCCCAUGCAGUAAUAGAUAAAGAGAAUUGUCUAUUAACAAAUAAAACUACUGGGGAAGAUUUAGUU